ACUCCUACGGGAGGCAGCAGUAAGGAAUAUUGCGCAAUGGGCGAAAGCCUGACGCAGCGACGCCGCGUGGGGGAUGAAGGUCUUCGGAUUGUAAACCCCUUUCGGGAGGGAAGAUGGAGCGAGCAAUCGUUCGGACGGUACCUCCAGAAGCAGCCACGGCUAACUUCGUGCCAGCAGCCGCGGUAAUACGAAGGUGGCAAGCGUUGUUCGGAUUUACUGGGCGUACAGGGAGCGUAGGCGGUUCGGUAAGCCCUCUGUGAAAUCUCCGGGCCUAACCCGGAAAGUGCGGAGGGGACUGCUCGGCUAGAGGAUGGGAGAGGAGCGCGGAAUUCCCG
rnacentral:rRNA from 1 species